GCCAGCCACAGCCUAAUGUCUGACUCGUGUUAAGGAACUAAGUAAACACUUGCCAAGAUUUCUUCUUCCAUCAAGUUUCAGAGAAACCUUUCAUCGGCUCCUGAUAGCUAUUUCUGCUCUUCGUUAGCUGGUUAGCAAGAAAGCAAAUAAGAAGAAACCUUUCUGAGACUCAAUUAUAAGAUUUCUAACGUUUCUAAGAAGGGAUAGACGACACACGCAAGGGAUUGCUGGCUAGUCUCGGCGGGCACUGGGGUGGGGAAGAGCCUUCUGUAUUUAGCACCUUGUGUCAUUUGAUGCUUGGGCAAAGAGAGACCUCUCAGGGUAGCAUUCAAGAUUCUCCAUUUCUUAAGCAGGCUGCCCGGGGUGGAGCUUACCUCUUCUGAGCUGGUAUUGGCUGAUGCCUGGAGCUUACUGUCUGUCUAUGCUUAGCAGUACCGUGUUGAGUCACCUCCCCUGAGCUCUGCCUACUUAAAUUGCUAACCAUUCUACCGAGGAUCUUGAAUUUGAAUCAAGUAAGGCAGGCUGUGAGGGUCCCAGACAUGUGGGGGAGGGGAAGCUUGGGCUACACUGAAAAGAAAUCAGGUCCAUACCUUUUAACCAAAAAAGGUUGUAAAAAUAUGUUGGCCUAUUGAAUUAUUUAUAUCUUUCGAGAUGUGAGAAGAUGCCCGGGAACCAGGAGAGCAGCAGGGGUGGUUAGCCGGCACUCUGUGCCUCAUUUGCACUCGCAAGUCAUUUCUGUGCUAGUUGCUCUCGUCCAGGGAAUGGCGUCAUCCUCCCCAAGAGGGGAUGGUUUUUAAAGUGGGAUUUCUGAACCAGUUAUAUGGAGGAGGGGUGGGAAGAGACAGCGGGGAUUUGAUUUACCCAGCUUCCUAGCUUUUCACUGAGGAUCGUGCUUUAAGAUCAAAGACCCGGGGAGGAGAAGGCUGGGAAGCUGUAGGAUGUAUAGAACAGCUAAGAUACAUUAGCUCAUAUUCGGGUUUUGAGCCUGUGACUAUCCAACACUGGCUUCCAGCCUUCUGAGUUAUCUGAGCAGAGAGUUAAGGAGGAAAGGGAAAUUUUGUAGAGUAAACUGUUUUGCCACACUGAAUGGGUCUUUUUAGCAUGAUUCUUAUAAAGAGUCAUUUUCUACGUUCUGAAACAACUGAUGAGACACCUGGUUUUUCUCUUGAAUUUGUACAUUGUUUCUUAAUAAAAGUGAUAAAUUUCUUGCAGGUGUUUCCCAUCACCGUUACCUUUCAAGUGCUUGUGUGCUGUUUCAGUAGCUUUCAAUUUUUGCCUCGUGUCGUGGUGGUGGUGGUACAUUUUAUUGCAAACGGUUGUAAGCAGCCUGUCUUCCUGAUGCCAGGCAGCUGGAUCAAUCAUAAACCACCUCUCGGGCUAUAGGUCUGCUUCUACUCCAGAAAUUUAAGGAAGAUCAGUCUACUUUUGGACGUUUAAAAGGCUCCUGGCAGUAAGUGGCCGUAACCACUCUCUCAAAUCCUCUUUGCUUUACAGGGACACAUUGAUUUUUGUAAUGCUGCAAUGGCCAGUUCUCUUUAUCUCUGAUCUGUUGCUUUUAAAUAAAUCUUAACCUGAAAGCAUCUUUCCAAGAAGUUGGCCACACCUAAUCUAUUAUUAAUGUUACUCAGUAAGCCCUCCACCCGGAACACUGAAAGAAAAAACAAAAGGGAGGUUUUGCAUUAAAUAGAGCAUGAUUAAAAUUGGUCUUCUUAAAAAUCCCAGCACAGCCUUAUCAGAAGGAUGGGCCCUGAUGUUCCCAACUGGCCCUAAGCCUCAGAGGCAAUGCUGGACUGGCUCUGGCUACCUCUGAAGCCCCUGCAUGCUGAAGUCAUACAGGCAUAGAGGAGAGGGGAUUCUCAGAUGGGAUGGACUGCAAGCCUACAAAAAGGAAAGAACCCUCUGGGAGACUAAAUCAUGGCUUAGUUCAACACCUUCGCAAAUUGUGUAUCUCACCCGUGGAGCGGUCUUCUACAGGCGAGCCUGUGAUCCCAGGGCCAGGAGCGAAGUGUAAUUGCAGAGAACACAGCAGUGUCUCCAUCUGAGAUUUCCCUCAUUCACAAGGGCUCAAGCACACAGGUGGAUGUCAGAAAAGAUCCAAUUUCCCCGUCUCUGUCUUCUGUGCAGCAUUCAGGCAACCAACAAAAAAGCACAGAUCGAUGAACUGAGUGUGUAUUAAUGUCAAAACCUCCUAAAAGAAAAAGAAAGCCCAUCUGGCCAGGCAAGUAUUUGUUAAUAGUCACAGCUUUUCAGUGAUGUUUUUUUAUCUGUAAAUUAACUUAAUAAAAUCAUCCCAUCAUUAAAAUUAA